UGGGGAAUUUUGGACAAUGGGGGCAACCCUGAUCCAGCCAUGCCGCGUGCGGGAAGAAGGCCUUCGGGUUGUAAACCGCUUUUGGUCGGGACGAAAGGUCACUUCCUAACAGGGGGUGAUGUUGACGGUACCGGCAGAAUAAGCACCGGCUAACUACGUGCCAGCAGCCGCGGUAAUACGUAGGGUGCGAGCGUUAAUCGGAAUUACUGGGCGUAAAGCGUGCGCAGGCGGUUGGCCGUGUCCUGUGUGAAAGCCCCGGGCUUAACCUGGGAAUGGCAUGGGAAACUGGCUGGCUGGAGUGUGGCAGAGGGGGGUGGAAUUCCGCGUGUAGCAGUGAAAUGCGUAGAGAUGCGGAGGAACACCGAUGGCGAAGGCAGCCCCCUGGGCUGACACUGACGCUCAGGCACGAAAGCGUGGGGAGCAAACAGGAUUAGAUACCCCCGUAGUCC
rnacentral:rRNA from 1 species